rnacentral:lncRNA from 1 species
UAACCUGGCAUUUUCCAAUACAUGUACAGUAUAUUCUUACCACAGAUUUGGUUUUCUGUGUCUUUCAGUGUCUGGCUUAUUGACCCAAAGUUCUUCAUCGGUGUCUUGCAAACCACUGAGAACACAGAUAUUUUCUCCAUCUGUUUCUUGCAAUUUCCCAGUUGAGAGCUCAAAAUACUUCACUGUUCCUUCCAGAUGACCCUCUAUUGCUGUUCCCACUGGGCAUCAUAAACUCCAUGACUACUUCCAAAAAAUGUUAAGGACUAUUUCAAAGAGCCCAGAAGCACAAAUUGGUAUCACUUCCUACCCCGCAGAGCUGACCAGGCUUAGAGGAGCAGUGGAGAUCAUGGCUGCAAAACACUUAGCACUGGAAAAACAGUGUGACCAUUCCACACUUCUCAAAGAGGAUAUGACAGAGUUGACAACAGCCUCAUCUACACUAAUAAGCAUUACUAGAACAAUGGGAUACCUAACUCGGAGAGAGAAUCAAAAGAUAGGUAAGAACCUGGGUGAGGGGGAGACUACAACAGGUCAUGCUGAAAGGUGGCCUGUUAGGCUGGAGGCAGGUUACUAGUGGAGUUCCUCAGGGAUUGGUCUUGUGACCAGUCUCACUUAAUAUUUUCAUUAAUAGCUUUGGCACAAAAAGUGGGAAUGUGCUAGUAAAAUUUGUGGAUGACACAAAGUUGAGAGGUAUUGCCAGUACUGAAGACCAGAAUAUCAUACAAGAUUUGGAUGACCUUGAAAACUGGAGGGAUUAAAUUUAAUAGUGCAAAGUGCAAGGUUU